rnacentral:rRNA from 1 species
UACGGGGGGUGCGAGCGUUGUCCGGAAUCACUGGGCGUAAAGGGCGCGUAGGCGGUUUGUCGCGUCUGCCGUGAAAGUCCGGGGCUCAACUCCGGAUCUGCGGUGGGUACGGGCAGACUAGAGUGAUGUAGGGGAGACUGGAAUUCCUGGUGUAGCGGUGAAAUGCGCAGAUAUCAGGAGGAACACCGGUGGCGAAGGCGGGUCUCUGGGCCGAUACUGACGCUGAGGAGCGAAAGCGUGGGGAGCGAACAGG